AAUCAACGCUGGCGGCGUGCCUAACACAUGCAAGUCGAACGCGAAAGCCCCGCAAGGGGUAAGUAGAGUGGCAAACGGGUGAGUAACACGUGGGUGACCUGCCUUCGAGUGGGGGAUAACGUCCCGAAAGGGACGCUAAUACCGCAUGACAUCCUGCUUUUGAAAAAGCGGAGAUCAAAGCUGGGGAUCGCAAGACCUAGCGCUUGAAGAGGGGCCCGCGCCUGAUUAGCUAGUUGGUGAGGUAACGGCUCACCAAGGCGACGAUCAGUAUCCGGCCUGAGAGGGCGGACGGACACACUGGGACUGAGACACGGCCCAGACUCCUACGGGAGGCAGCAGUGGGGAAUUGUUCGCAAUGGGCGCAAGCCUGACGACGCAACGCCGCGUAGAGGACGAAGAUCUUCGGGUCGUAAACUCCUGUCGAGCGGGACGAACGCUUCGCGGAUGAAUAAUCCGCGGAAUUGACGGUACCGCUAAAGGAAGCCCCGGCUAACUCCGUG
rnacentral:rRNA from 1 species